rnacentral:tRNA from 1 species
CGCGGGGUGGAGCAGUGGUAGCUCGUCGGGCUCAUAACCCGAAGGUCGCAGGUUCAAAUCCUGCUCCCGCAA